GAUGAACGCUGGCGGCGUGCCUAAUACAUGCAAGUCGAGCGAACAGAUGAGGAGCUUGCUCCUCUGACGUUAGCGGCGGACGGGUGAGUAACACGUGGAUAACCUACCUAUAAGACUGGGAUAACUUCGGGAAACCGGAGCUAAUACCGGAUAAUAUAUUGAACCGCAUGGUUCAAUAGUGAAAGACGGUUUUGCUGUCACUUAUAGAUGGAUCCGCGCCGCAUUAGCUAGUUGGUAAGGUAACGGCUUACCAAGGCAACGAUGCGUAGCCGACCUGAGAGGGUGAUCGGCCACACUGGAACUGAGACACGGUCCAGACUCCUACGGGAGGCAGCAGUAGGGAAUCUUACGGAAUGGGCGAAAGCCUGACGGAGCAACGCCGCGUGAGUGAUGAAGGUGUUCGGAUUGUAAAACUCUGUUAUUAGGGAAGAACAAAUGUGUAAGUAACUAUGCACGUCUUGACGGUACCUAAUCAGAAAGCCACGGCUAACUACGUG
rnacentral:rRNA from 1 species